rnacentral:lncRNA from 1 species
GGAGAGAUGACAUAGGGAGGGGAGGUGAGGUGAGAUGGGACGUGAAGGUGACAUGGGGACAUGAGGUAGGCAUGUGAGAUGGGGGUAUGGGACACAAAGGUGACAUGGGGCUUUAGGUGAUGCGGGGACAUGAGGUGACGGGAUGUGAGGUGAGAUGGGGACAGGACAUGAGGUGAUGUCAGGCCUCGUGACAUGGGAACAUGACGUGAUGGAUGCCGGCUUGAGACAGAGGACGGCGCACACCCACUGUGGGAAUGUCUGGGGGCCUGCUGAGGACAAAGGAGCUGCCUCUGUUCCAGGGCCCCUGGAUACAUCCUCCCUGCCCUGAAUCCCAGAGAGACCCG